ACCAGCACCCCGAGUGGUCGGGACGAUUAUUGGGCCUAAAGCAUCCGUAGCCGGUUUUACAAGUCCUCCGUUAAAUCCAACUGCUUAACAGAUGGGCCGCGGAGGAUACUAUAAGACUAGGAGGCAGGAGAGGCAAGCGGUACUCAGUGGGUAGGGGUAAAAUCCGUUGAUCCAUUGAAGACCACCAGUGGCGAAGGCGGCUUGCCAGAAUGCGCUCGACGGUGAGGGAUGAAAGCUGGGGGAGCAAACCGGA
rnacentral:rRNA from 1 species